UACGAAGGGGGCUAGCGUUGCUCGGAAUUACUGGGCGUAAAGCGCACGUAGGCGGCUUCUUAAGUCGGUGGUGAAAUCCUGGAGCUCAACUCCAGAACUGCCUUCGAUACUGGGAAGCUCGAGUCCGGGAGAGGUGAGUGGAAUUCCUGGUGUAGCGGUGAAAUGCGCAGAUAUCAGGAGGAACACCAAUGGCGAAGGCAGCUCGCUGGGACGUGACUGACGCUGAGACGCGAAAGCGUGGGGAGCAAACAGG
rnacentral:rRNA from 1 species